rnacentral:rRNA from 1 species
AGCAGCCGCGGUAAUUCCAGCUCCAAUAGCGUAUAUUAAAGUUGUUGCAGUUAAAAAGCUCGUAGUUGAAUUUCGGGAUCAAGUCGUCGGUCGUGCUCAGGUACGUACUGGCGUCAUUGAUUUCUCCCUUCUGACGAGCCAUGAUGUCAUUAAUUUGGUGUCAUGGGAAAUCAGGACUGUUACUUUGAAAAAAUUAGAGUGUUUAAAGCAGGCUCACGCUUGAAUACAUUAGCAUGGAAUAAUGAAAUAGGACGUUCGAUCCUAUUUUGUUGGUUUUUAGGAUCAACGUAAUGAUUAAUAGGGAUAGUUGGGGGCAUUAGUAUUCAAUUGUCAGAGGUGAAAUUCUUGGAUUUAUUGAAGACUAACUACUGCGAAAGCAUUUGCCAAGGAUGUUUUCAUUAAUCAAGAACGAAAGUUAGGGGAUCGAAGACGAUCAGAUACCGUCGUAGUCUUAACCAUAAACUAUGCCGACUAGGGAUCGGAUGAUGUUAAUUUUUAAUGACUCAUUC